GAUGAACGCUGGCGGCGUGCCUAAUACAUGCAAGUCGAGCGAACGGACGAGAAGCUUGCUUUUCUGAUGUUAGCGGCGGACGGGUGAGUAACACGUGGAUAACCUACCUAUAACACUGGGAUAACUUCGGGAAACCGGAGCUACUACCGGAUAAUAUUUUGAACCGCAUGGAUCAAAAGUGAAAGACGGUCUUGCUGUCACUUAUAGAUGGAUCCGCGCUGCAUUAGCUAGUUGGUAAGGUAACGGCUUACUAAGGCAACGAUGCAUAGCCGACCUGAGAGGGUGAUCGGCCACACUGGAACUGAGACUCGUGCCAGGCGCCUACGGGAGGCAGCAGUAGGGAAUCUUCCGCAAUGGGCGAAAGCCUUACGGAGCAACGCCGCGUGAGUGAUGAAGGUCUUCGGAUCGUAAAACUCUGUUAUUAGUGAAGAACAUAUGUGUAAGUAACUGUGCACAUCUUGACGGUACCUAGUCAGAAAGCCACGGCUAACUACGUG
rnacentral:rRNA from 1 species